rnacentral:rRNA from 1 species
GAUGAACGCUGGCUACAGGCUUAACACAUGCAAGUCGUGGGGAAACGGCAUUAUGUGCUUGCACAUUCUGGACGUCGACCGGCGCACGGGUGAGUAUCGCGUAUCCAACCUGCCCCUUACUUGGGGAUACCCCGUCGAAAGACGGCCUAAUACCCGAUGUGUUUCAUUGACGGCAUCCGAUAUGAAACAAAGGUUUUUCCGGUAAGGGAUGGGGAUGCGUCUGAUUAGCCAGUUGGCGGGGCAACGGCCCACCAAGGCGACGAUCAGUAGGGGUUCUGAGGGGAAGGUCCCCCACAUUGGAACUGAGACACGGUCCAAACUCCUACGGGAGGCAGCAGUGAGGAAUAUUGGUCAAUGGACGCAAGUCUGAACCAGCCAAGUAGCGUGCAGGAUGACGGCCCUAUGGGUUGUAAACUGCUUUUAUGUGGGAAUAAAGUGGCGCACGUGUGCGCCAUUGCAUGUACCUCAUGAAUAAGGACCGGCUAAUUCCGUGCCAGCAGCCGCGGUAAUACGGAAGGUCCGGGCGUUAUCCGGAUUUAUUGGGUUUAAAGGGAGUGUAGGCGGUCUGUUAAGCGUGUUGUGAAAUUUAGGUGCUCAACAUUUAACUUGCAGCGCGAACUGUCAGACUUGAGUACACGCAGCGCAGGCGGAAUUCAUGGUGUAGCGGUGAAAUGCUUAGAUAUCAUGAGGAACUCCGAUCGCGAAGGCAGCCUGCGGGAGUGUUACUGACGCUUAAGCUCGAAGGUGCGGGUAUCGAACAGG